CAAAAAAUAGGUACAGAUUUCUUGCAAAUAUUCAUUUGUAGUUGGAAAUUUCACUUGCCUAUUCUGCUUCUCUUUACAGCCUAAGACAUAGCAAGGAAAAAGUUGAUUUCUGAGAAUUAAUAGAAAGAGCAUCCAUUUUUCGAUAAUAAUGAAAUGUUUGAAACUGAUUCAUUUGGGACAUCCUAAGUUGGUGGAUCAAAGCACUACCUAGUACAGGUUAUAUAACAAAAGAUUUUUACGAGUCAUCUUCAGACGGAUGGAUAUUGUGUUUUCUAGAUGUUAACUAAACAUAAGAGCUAGAUUUUCACUACCUUUACCUCAUAGAUUGUAUUUCCAUGGAAUGAUGUUUAGACAUCUUGUUUGGUAACAAAUGGACAUGUUUAAUGUGGGCCUGUUUGUUUUUACUGUUGGAGUGCCAAGCAUGCACGUGGCGCUCCAUCACUGACACCAAAGAGCUUCUUUGCAUAUGGUGGUGCAUUAAAAUUGAUUAGUUGUUCAUAGUCACAGUUAUCCUUAAGUAUCAAGUUUUGAAAGAAAUAUUAUUACUUGUAAAUGUGAUAUGUAAUUUCUGAAAUCAAUGUAGUUCAUUGGAAAAAUAAUCUUUGGAAAGCUAGACACAACUGACAGUCUGGCAGACUUUAUAGUGAUGUAGCUAGCAUUACCAUAGUGUAGUCUACUUGUUUCACUUAUGAGUUGAUGAGUCUAUGCAAAUUGUGCUGUCAAUGAUAUUUCUUCUGUUUAGUAUCAAGUUGGUUGCAACUUGGAAUUAGGUCUUUUUCCUGGCCUCUUCAUGAGCUUAUUGCAAGUCUUUUACACAAACAGACAAUAGGACUCCUAUUGAAUAGAACAGUUAUUAUGUUUCUGUUUUGAAUUUUGACCAACAUUAUGGUUUUAAACAAAUCCUUUAAAUGUGUGUUAUAAUGCAGUCACAAGCAUUUUGGGAUUAAGGCUCAAUUGUUCUUGUUAUUGUUGUUUAUUUAUUUAUAACUACUUAUUGUGUGAGAUUCACUUUCAUAAAGAUGCCCAGUUAUUAUUAUGUCAAACAAAUUAUUUCUGUAAGCUAAGGCAUGGGGUUCAAGAUCCCCCUCAAUACAGAAAGUAUGAGGACUACCUUAAGAUGAUAUUCUCAUUCAUUGUCCUUAACAUGAACAUUAGUGAAAUGUGGGAUUGGCAACAGAAUCUCUAAUUCACCUUUUAAUAUUAUUGCUAGUUCCACUGAAAAUAAUUCUCCCCCCUCGUUUCUCUUUCUCAAGUUUUCAACCUGGAAUG
rnacentral:misc_RNA from 1 species